UACGGAGGGUGCAAGCGUUAUCCGGAUUUAUUGGGUUUAAAGGGUGUGUAGGCGGGUCUUUAAGUCAGAGGUGAAAUCUCCGAGCUUAACUUGGAAACUGCCAUUGAUACUAUUGAUCUUGAAUUCUGUUGAGGUGGGCGGAAUAUGUCAUGUAGCGGUGAAAUGCAUAGAUAUGACAUAGAACACCAAUUGCGAAGGCAGCUCACUAAGCAGAUAUUGACGCUGAGGCACGAAAGCGUGGGGAUCAAACAGG
rnacentral:rRNA from 1 species